AUACGUAGGUGGCGAGCGUUAUCCGGAAUUACUGGGUGUAAAGGGUGUGUAGGCGGGAAGGCAAGUCGGAUGUGAAAAUUAUGGGCUCAACCCAUAAAGUGCGACCGAAACUGUUUUUCUUGAGGAUCGGAGAGGUAAUGAGAAUUCCCGGUGUAGCGGUGAAAUGCGCAGAGAUCGGGAGGAAUACCGGUGGCGAAGGCGAAUUACUGGACGAUAACUGACGCUGAGACACGAAAGCGUGGGGAGCAAACAGGAUUAGAUACCCUGGUAGUCCACGCUGUAAACGAUGAAUACUAGGUGUUGGGAGACAAUAGUUUCUCGGUGCCGCAGCAAACGCAAUAAGUAUUCCACCUGGGGAGUACGUUCGCAAGAAUGAAACUCAAAUGAAUUGACGGGG
rnacentral:rRNA from 1 species